AUUUAUUUACGCAUAUAUAAACCGGCUACCAUGUCUAUAUUUGUACGUAACUAUGCCCGUAGAAAAAUUAUAUAGAUAUAUAUUUGUGAUUGUCCGACACCAUUGGCUCGCGGCCUGGCUGUUCACUCCCUAGCGGGUUUAACAGCGUACUGUCUACUGUCCCGUAUGCCUCGUGCCCCAACGAGGCUCUUUCGAGUUUUCUAAUCACUCUGUUACCCGAGAAUACGGUUAAAGCGACAUUCACAACGGACAUAUUUACAUAAGUGCUCGAGCAGCCCGCCACAUGUUUUUACACUCGCGGAGAUCACGCAGAUGUAUCAGAGUACACUCACAGCAUUGCUCCGUCAUUUCAGUGCGUCCUUUUUUUUUGUUUAACGUAUAAAAUGACGCUCAUGUGAACAUGAAAGAAAAAAAGGGAUUUUUUUCAAUCGAACAACUUUCAUUUGUGUUGCUGUGUUAGUUAAUCUUUGUUUACAUUGGUUUUCUGGAAAAAUAAUGAUAAAAAUGAUCGCACUGCUUGUUUUUCUUUAUUUAUUAGGCGAUAUUUGACUGCGUUUCACUCAUUUGAAUUUGUGUUUUACUCUCGCGCAAUUGGUGCUCUGUUUAUCAGCCAGCAUAAGAGCGAGAAACCGGAAAAAUAACAAAGUUUUGUGAAAUUUGUUUUCCUCGAGAUUCAGACGAUUUAUUUUGCCUUCAAAUUUUUCAAAACAUUACGUUUACGCACGAGGGGGGGUGGAAGAAAAAAGUUUGCUUGCGUACGACAGAGAGCGAGACGAAGAGUGUUUGGUUUCAGUGCGAUAAAUGACGCGGCGCAACAAAAUCCUUUUUUCAAUUCGAGCUUAAGCGUUUCAAUAUGAUUUAUGAAAAACUAGAUUAGGGCAAAUCACACCAAAUCUUUUACUCACCAAUUAAUCAAAUGCAACAAAAGACUUCGCUGUGUGACGUCAUCAUCUUCAUGGCGGAAGUCCAAGAGUACAAAGACUUCUUUGUGUGUGUGUGUGUGUCGUGUGUGAAGUUCACGCUUCUCACAUUUCAUAUCUUGCAUGGAAAACAUUUGGCUACGAUUAUUCCGGGAUUGAGGAUUUUAAUAAUACGGAAAUCUUAAUGAAAAAUCGCAUUAAGCUGUUCUACGAAAUAUUCUAUGAAAACAACUUUUGGAUAAUUCGAUUCAGACAUUGCUCGCAUUCGUUAUUUCGAAUAUGUGGAUUAUUUGAGCUCGUUAACUGCGUCGUCUCAGAUGUGAUGCCAGAAAAAAAGGUCUGUAAAUGGCAAACUGUGAGUAUCAUUAUCGGGAAUUUUUAUCAGUGAACUUCAGAGCAAGCGUUGAGAAACAAAAAGAUAUCCGUUGCUCGUCAACGCAUAUAAACUUUGUCAAAGAACUGCACGAGUGUCGACCUCUCGAAAUGCUGACAGACGACUCUCGUGUGAUACAAUAAUCAAUAAUAAUUGCUCUUGUUCGAUAUGCUUGAAAAAGCGAGCUCUGUAAAUAAAUAAAAAAUUCAUUAAAAUGAAGUUUCGAAAGUGAUUAAUUAAAAAUACGUUAAGAUACCACGGAAGUGUUGUCAAUAAACUCAAAUCUUCGUAAUUCAAUGUCCGCCACGUUGGCCUGCUGCCUGUGACGAAAUUGGCUACAUUUUUUUCUACACAAUCUUGCCGGUCAAAUUCAUAAUUCACGAUUUUGAGGUUAAAAAUGAUAAAAGUGAAGUGCAAAAUAAGUUGUACAACAAAGCAUAAAUAUUUUGAGAAGAUAAAAUUGUUAUUUUCAAAGUGCACACGCGUGUUUGCGAAGCCAAACAAAAGAUUCAUGCCUAGCUCGAGUCCUUGAGGUUCAUUGGGCCUUGAUGGGCGCUCGGGCCAAAGAGCGGAGAUUUGUCUGGACGCUCCGGACGUAAAGAAUGCUCUCCUGUAGCCGAGCGCAAGAGUGACGAGGCCCGGACGGUGGUGGGGGCGAUAAAGAAAAGAAAAAGGAGGGGGGAGCGGAAACGAUCGAGAGAGGUGACUCACCUCUGGAUCAGCUGUUCCACUUCUUUACGAGGACGGCGAGACUCGUGAGGAAGGGCCUUCGAGAAGAAAAGAGAAAUAAAAUACAAGUAUCCGCACAAGGGCAAGCAAAAAGUUUCCCGUUUCGUCAUAAAUGCACACUUUCAAUGCUUCACACGUCAACAAAAGCGUCGUAAGGGAAAUAAAAAAAAGCAAGCUUUUUCGAAUGUCUGCCCAAGUUUCGAAUUUUUUUUAUCACUGUUUCAACCAUUUUCUCCUUGAAGCUUGCGAAAUCAGACAAAUAUUUUCAGUCUAUUCGAUAUUCGAACGACAAUUCCAACGUUAUUUUGAGUGAAAUUUUAUUUGACGAAUCGCGUCAUCAGACAUUCUUUUGAAAACGAAUCUACGAAAUGACGAGUUUCUG